rnacentral:lncRNA from 1 species
CUCCAGUGCUUCGGUUAUCAGCCACCCUCAAAGUUUCAUGGUUAAAAUGGUUUGCACUAAUAGCAGGAGAAAUAUAUGAGGAUAAUUGGAAAAGCCACCACUGACUGGAUAGUGCAUCCUUUGUUCCUUCUAUGGCUGUAAAAUUCCCCAGUCUCGCUCAGUGUGUUCUGUAGACCGUGUCUUCCUUCAGCUCUAAGUGUGGGGCGCAUUGUUGCAGCAGGUGACUCAACAACAAAACAGAAUCCAACAGACGUUAUCAGCUGCUCAUUGAAAUCACCUACCAGUAUUAAAAACUCAAUUCUUGUUCACCCCCGCCCACAAAGUCAUUCUUUUCAUUAUCUGAUCUGUGGCUUGACCAUCAUUAGGGAAAAAAAUCACAGAUGAUUCUAGUGUGUAGCCAAAGUGGAAAUUGGUAUUGACAAGAUUAUCCCGUGCUACUGUGCAAACAGUCAGGGAGCAGUAUUUUAAAUAGGUUCCUCAACAGAGCCCAAGGGUGGACUUCAAAUUCACUUCUAUUCCCCACAUAAAAUGAAUCUAGAGAGAACAGACCCCCCUCAUACAUUGCUGAUGGGAAUAUAAAAUGGUUCGGCCACUUUGGAGAAGAGUUUAGCAAUUUUUUAAAAACAUUGAAUAUAAAUUUACUAUGUGAUCACAGUUCAACUCAUAAGUCUAGACUCAAGAGAGAGAAAUGAAAACCUACAUCUAGCCACAGGCUUGCACAUACAUGUUCAGAAUGUGUCAACCAUAGCGUCUAGAAAACAACCCCAGUGGCUGUGGGCAGACAAGCAGCUGAACAAAAUGAGUAUAUCAUGUGUACAGAUGCUAAAGCUGUGAAGUCAGAUGGAAUACUGCUUGGCAGGUCAUGUAACGGAUUGACGCAUACAACAGUGUGAGAAACUCCAAAAAUAUCAAAACGUAAAAGUCAAGCACAAAGCCCGAUAUUCUAAUUUACUUAAAAUGUCCAAAAAAAAAAAAAGA